rnacentral:rRNA from 1 species
GACGAACGCUGGCGGCGUGCCUAAUACAUGCAAGUCGAACGAACCGCGACUAGGUGCUUGCACUUGGUCAAGGUGAGUGGCGAACGGGUGAGUAACACGUGGGUAACCUACCUCAUAGUGGGGGAUAACAGUCGGAAACGACUGCUAAUACCGCAUAGGACAUAGGAUCACAUGAUCCAGUGAGGAAAGGUGGCGCAAGCUAUCGCUAAGAGAUGGACCCGCGGUGCAUUAGCUAGUUGGUAGGGUAAAGGCCUACCAAGGCGAUGAUGCAUAGCCGACCGGAGAGGGUGAUCGGCCACAUGGGGAGUGAGACACGGCCCAAACUCCUACGGGAGGCAGCAGUAGGGAAUCUUACGCAAUGGACGCAAGUCUGACGGAGCAACGCCGCGUGAGUGAAGAAGGUCUUCGGAUCGUAAAGCUCUGUUGUUAGAGAAGAACAGCGCAUAGAGUAACUGUUAUGCGUGUGACGGUAUCGAACCAGAAAGCCACGGCUAACUACGUG